AUUGAACGCUGGCGGCAGGCCUAACACAUGCAAGUCGAGCGAGCGGCGCACGGGUGUGUAUUGUCUGGGAAAAAGUCCGAUGGAGGGGGAUAUCAAUUGGAAACGGUAUCUAAUAUCCCACACCAUCAGAGGUGUUCACAUGGGGUUAGCUAGUAGGUGGGGGAACGGCUCACCUCGGCGACGAUCCCGAGCUGGGCUGAGAGGAUGACCAGCCACACUGGAACUGAGACACGGUCCAGACUCCUACGGGAGGCAGCAGUGGGGAAUAUUGCACAAUGGGCGCAAGCCUGAUGCAGCCAUGCCGCGUGUAUGAAGAAGGCCUUCGGGUUGUAAAGCACUUUCAGCGGGGAGGCGUUACCCGCAGAAGAAGCACCGGCUAACUCCGUGCCAGCCGCCGCGGUAAUUC
rnacentral:rRNA from 1 species